UCUUUCAUUUUGCAGAGGCCUUGUUAAAAAUGAAAGAAGCGAUCUGACUGGUUGCUAUGGGCAACUGGGCAACUUUUCCUCUAGACAGGCUUUGAUAGAUCUCCCCCAUAGUGAAUAUCCGAAUUUCGCGAACCUAGGACGAAUAUUCAUCCAUAUAUUUGCGAAAUAUCGCGAAUUCGAAUAUGGCCCCUGCCGCUCAUCACUACUCCUUAGAUAGGAAAAUGUUCCAACCUCAGCGAAGUGACAGAUCACGGGUGUACGUCUAUCAAGUCUAUGGUGUUCGUUUAAGGAUAAACAACUUUGCUGCCAUUACCCUGACGGGAGCGCAGCCCUAUGCCAGAGUUACGUCUUCGAACGCAAUUACGCAAAAAAAAAAAAGAAAAAGAAAGAGGCAGAAGCAAACACACACACAGAAGUCUCAGUCAUACAGAAGUAUUCUCUUUAACAUACCCAUAGCAAAAAGUGCAUAAAUGAUUGGAUUAGAGGAAGAAAGAACUCAGGAAGCCAGAAAUCGUCCAGAAACGGUACAGAAGGUGCGGAAGAUGAGGAAGGAGCUGGAUUCACCAUUUUUUUUUCUAUUUUUCUAUCUACAUGGGAAGUGGUCCAGUGCUGUCCGUGCUCCGGAAUCCUAUCUUGUGCCACGGGGUACAUCCUCAUUCAGACUGGUGCUUUCAGCUCUCACUUAUUCAGACCUCUUUGUGAGUAUGGCCGGCCUGUAGCUGCGGAUAAAGUGGGAAGUCAGAACUUCAAAGCAAAAGGGAAUAAGAUGUGAGAACGUCACUCAGAAUCAGCAGAGACCGGGGGGAUAAGGAUGGUGUAAUGCAGAAUUGUAACAAUUAGCACUUUCAUUGCACCUAGUGCUCACUUCAUGUGAGUCAGCAUGACCUCACCCUCCGCGCUCCACAUCAACUCCCCACGUCUUAUGUUACACCAGAAUUAUGCAGGAUUUGUGGCAGUUUUCAUACAAUUGUUCACCAAAAGUGGAUUAAAAAUUCAUUUUUAAGGAUUAUAAAUGAGGGACAUAUUCUUCUUACUGCUGGGUCUACAUGUGU